CAAUAGCGUAUAUUAAAGUUGUUGCGGUAAAAAAGCUCGUAGUUGGAUUUCUACCGAAGAUAGCCGGUCGGGUCUUCGACCUUGUAUCUGGUUUUGUCUUUGGUAUCCUCAUAUGGAACGUUUCUGCGCUUUAUUGCGUGGUGCGGUAUCUAUGACUUUUACUUUGAGGAAAUUAGAGUGUUCACGGCAGGCAAACGCCUUGAAUAUAUUAGCAUGGAAUAAUAACAUAGGAUCUUCGUCCUAUUUUGUUGGUUUCUAGGGCUAAGAUAAUGAUUAAUAGGGAUAAUUGGGGGCAUCUGUAUCAACGCGUCAGAGGUGGAAUUCUUGGAUUGCGUUGCGACAAACUACUGCGAAAGCAUUUGCCAAGGAUGUUUUCAUUGA
rnacentral:rRNA from 1 species